AUUGAACGCUGGCGGCAGGCCUAACACAUGCAAGUCGAGCGAGCGGCGGACGGGUGAGUAAUGUAUGGGAAUCUGCCCGAUAGAGGGGGAUAACUACUGGAAACGGUGGCUAAUACCGCAUACUAUCGGAUGAACCCAAAUGGGAUUAGCUAGUAGGUGGGGUAAAGGGUUACCUAGGCGCCGAUCUCUAGCUGGUCUGAGAGGGGGAUGAGCCACACUGGAACUGAGACACGGCCCAGACUCCUACGGGAGGCAGCAGUGGGGAAUCUUGCACAAUGGGCGCAAGCCUGAUGCAGCCAUGCCGCGUGUAUGAAGAAGGCCUUAGGUUUGUAAAGCACUUUCAUCGGGGAGGCGUUACCCGCAGAAGAAGCACCGGCUAACUCCGUGCCAGCAGCCGCGGUAAUAC
rnacentral:rRNA from 1 species